rnacentral:misc_RNA from 1 species
AACCUAGCACACCUGCGGUGUGUACCUGCGGAGGGAUCAUUACCUAGAGUUGUAGGCUUUGCCUGCUAUCUCUUACCCAUGUCUUUUGAGUACCUUACGUUUCCUCGGUGGGUUCGCCCGCCGGUUGGACAAAACUUAAACCCUUUGUAGUUGCAAUCAGCGUCUGAAAAAACUUAACAGUUACAACUUUCAACAAUGGAUCU